GCCUCUCGCCCGGCACGGCCAAAGGUGCCGCCCCGGUCUCUCCGUCCCGCCCCGAGCACGCCCCUCACUCCGCACCGGCCAAUGGCACCGCCCCGUCCGCCCCGCUCUGGGAACGCCGCUCCAGCAGAUGUGACAUAGACUGGAAGUGAUGGACCCAGACAACAAUCAGAACCAAAGCACCAGAUGAGCCACCUCAGCCACGUGAGCCAUGCCAGCCACCCUACCUGUGACCCCAUCUGUGGCCCCAGUUAUCAUGGAGUAGAGCCCUUUCUCUGUCUACAAAACCAACUUCCUCGCCCAGCUCAUGGGAACACUUAUUCUGUUGUAUAGAAUGAAGUGUUGCUUGAUUCUAGAAUCCUUUGUCCCAGGAAUGGGGUCUGUAAUUCAGGGACCUGUAGAAGUUCACAGUGUGAGAGGAAUGAAGUGUCCAAUCUGCAAUCUGAAUCUUCCCUAUGAAAUUUCCACCUGGUGCCCUCCAGCGCAGAUUCUCGCACCCACAGUCCUGCCUUACAGGGCAGACCAUUUCCUCUCUGACAGUACUACCUGUCUGAAUGUUCUGCUUCAAACUGAGUCAAGAUAUGUGAACCCUGGGUAGAAGAAUUAUCAGGUCUGGAGGGAGCACAAGCAAACUAUCCCAUUUUAUGGACGUGGAAACCGAGGCCUGAGGGAGAGACGCACCAGGAAUCAGGAGAUCUGGCUCUGAUCAGCUGUACAAAUUGAGAAUUGUGACCUGACCUUGUCCAACCCAAGUGGCCCAACUCCUAAUUCUGUGAGUGACAUGUCUCUGUUACUUUGGAAUAUUGAUUGAAGAUGCCAUUAAGAACAUUCAUGAUUCAUGAGAGGAGAUCAAAAUAUCAACAUAAACAGGAGUUUGAAAGAAGUUGAUUUCAACCCUUGUGGAUGACUAUGAGAGAUUCAAGGCUUCAGUGGAGAAUGCACCUACAGAUAUGGUGGAAACAGCAAAAGAAAUAGAAUCAGAAGUGGAGCCUGAAGAUUAAACUGAAUUGCUGCAAUCUCAUGAUAAAACUUGAACAGAUGAGGAGUUGCUUCUUACAGGUCUGUGGAUCAACACUGUCUCCCUGGCCUCUACCCAGCGCGCAGGACCCCUUAGCAGAGCAGGAGAACUCAGGAUCCAGCCAGCUGCCGGCACACUUUCGUCCUCCUCCGCACACGAGGAUCCCCAGGCCCAGCGGUGUUAGCCCAGAGAGGAGCGGCGUUUGGGAUGUGAUCCACAGCUGAUCCCUCGUGGCCCCUCCUCUCCCGAAUCCUGAAACAUGAGGAGGCCCUUCAGCUGCUGGCUCGGAGUCCGACUAUGGGAACUUUCUCCGGUCUACGGGGGCAGCAAGGGUCUCGCCUCAGGGACUUGGUUUAUUUAUCUAGCUGGACUCCAUCCCUUAAUAUCCUACUUACAGAGGAAGAGGCUUUAGCAGCUAAAUGCAGCCCCAUCCCCUCCUGUGGAGACUGUGAGCAGAAAAAGAACAGAUAUUUACAGAGGCCCGAGCCCCCCUUGUUGUUUUCUGCAAGGCUGUCGAGCUGGUGGAGCUUCAGGAUCCUGGUCAGGAACCCCGAACCCAGCGCUGGAGGCCCUGAAGAUCAGGGCACCCGACCCUCUUCCCAGCCGCCAAAGGCCUGUGUUGGUCUGAUUGUGGAUUCCAAGCUCUAAUUUCCAUCCAUCCUCCCAAUCCGAAUUCCCUUUGCAGACAUAAACACCAUCAGCAAUGUAGAGAAUGUGUUUCCUCAUCUUUGAAUAUUAACACUCAUCUGUUUAAUUGAGCUACUUUUUACAUACAUGUAAGAUGUGCUGCAAUUGCAAAAGAAACAUGUGCUUCGUGUUCUAUAAGCCAUAUCUUCCGCAAGACCUGCCAUCAAAUGAUUGCUCAAACAUUUGUUGAAUGGGAUGAGCAAUGGAGGUUCAGACAGGUGCCCUGACCUACCCAGGCUGGAGGGUAGGGAGCUAGAAAUUCAUACAACCAUGCCUUGUUCUACUUGUUUUGUGAAAGAAUCAUGUGACCAGUGACAAAGAGGCUGGGCAGCUGGGUCAGGCAGCAGGGACAGCGACUGAGCUGGGGGGACUACAGUGCUGUGCUCCUCUGCACCCGUGCUGGGAUGUCUGAGGCCAAGCUGACACUGGCCCCCCACAAUCCCUUGGGGCUGCUCCUCCUCAGGGAGUGGCUCUCCGGGUUUCCUGCUUGACUCCUGCUGCUCUUGUGUUGAAGGGCCGUCUCUGGGCAGCUCCCCCUGGCCCCUGGCCAGAGAGCCAGGCCCUGUCAGGCACGCACAUGGAGGAUGAGGGAGGUGCAGUUGUUUUCACAGGUGCAGACUCUAGAGGGACCCCACGUGGACUCUGUGGCUUCUGCCCCGACGCACUCGCGGGAGGACACAGCUCUGCCCGGAAGGGAGAGUGCUGAGCUGGGUCCCUGCUGCUCAUCUCUGUGGCA
ensembl:lncRNA TMEM72-AS1 TMEM72 antisense RNA 1